rnacentral:tRNA from 7 species
GAGAGUGUAGUUUAACUGGAUAAAACAUUAGUCUACGAAACUAAAAACGUGGGGGUUCAAAUCCCUCCACUCUCGUCA